rnacentral:rRNA from 1 species
UACAGAGGUCCCAAGCGUUGUUCGGAAUUACUGGGCGUAAAGGGCGCGUAGGCGGCUUGGAAAGUUGGGUGUGAAAGCCCAGGGCUCAACCCUGGAACUGCACUCAAGACUUCCUUGCUUGAAUUCGGUAGAGGUUGGUGGAAUUCUCAGUGUAGAGGUGAAAUUCGUAGAGAUUGGGAAGAACACCCGUGGCGAAGGCGGCCAACUGGACCGACAUUGACGCUGAGGCGCGAAAGCGUGGGGAUCAAACAGG